rnacentral:rRNA from 1 species
GUACACGCUGUGACUAGCAUAUCAAUAAGCGGAGGAAAAGAAACUAACAAGGAUUCCCCUAGUAACGGCGAGUGAAGCGGGAAGAGCUCAAAUUUGAAAUCUUAAAGGGUUUCCCUUUACGAAUUGUAGUUUAAAGAAGUGUUUUCUGUUGAGGUUUUGGUAAAAGUUCUUUGGAAUAGGACAUCAUAGAGGGUGAGAAUCCCGUAUUUGACCUUUACUUUCAACUUUGUGAUACACUUUCAAAGAGUCGGAUUGUUUGGGAAUGCAGUCCAAAAUGGGUGGUAAAUUUCAUCUAAAGCUAAAUAUUGGCGAGAGACCGAUAGCGAACAAGUACCGUGAGGGAAAGAUGAAAAGAACUUUGAAAAGAGAGUUAAACAGUACGUGAAAUUGUCAAAAGGGAAGUGUUUGACACCAGUGUUGUUUUUCUGAAAAUCAAUUAAAGAACUGUUUAUGCUAAGUUGUUUAGACUUUAUCAGCUAACUGUUUAGUUUUGAGCUUUUCUUUAAUGCACUUUUCAGUUAACAAGUCAACAUCUAAUUUCUUUUGCUGUAAAAAAGCUUGAGGAAGGUGGCUUGAGAUUCGUCUUAAGUGUUUAUAGCCUCUUGCCUAUGCAGUCGGAGAGAUUGAGGUCUGCAGCGUAGAUCCUUCGGGGCUAAAUGCAUAUUGUGCUAAGUUAUAGCAUUUUAUAGACAACUUGUUGACUAUGAUUUGUCUUGUAGCUUACUCGCUUAUGUUAUUUUACCUACGCUUAGGAUGUUGACGCGCGUGUGUGCGUG